rnacentral:tRNA from 3 species
GCCGAAGUGGCGGAAUUGGUAGACGCGCUAGGUUCAGGGUCUAGUGGGCGUACGCUCGUGGGAGUUCGACUCUCCCCUUCGGCACCA